ensembl:lncRNA
UCAACAUCUCGCCUGCUCUGUAACCCAUGGAAACCUGUUUCAGAAGGUUGGACAUGAAGCGGAGAUUUUUUUACACAAGUAACUCAAACCAAAGCCAGAAUAAGAGAAGUGUGGAAUAAAUGCUGUGCUGGGACCUCGCCAGGAAGACUAAAGCCUGGGACCACCUGCCCAGAAGUGGCACCACACAUAGUCAGGUGACUCUAGCAUGUGUCAAGUUGACGAAGAACUAAACAACGCAAGGGUGUUUGAUUCCCUGGAACUGGAGGCACAGCGAGUUGAUGGGGAAUGUACUGUGUAUGUUUAUCUUAUUGAUUGUUAAAUAAAAUACUGUUUGGCCAAUGAGACAGCAAGUAGACAGGACUAGAGUCAAAGAGGAUUUUGGGAAAUGUAGUAGAGCAGUGCUGAUCCAGGCAGGAAGUGACAUAGCAAGGAGACUCAUACUUAAGCGAAGGAGACCCAGGAAGGGCCCUUUUUCCUGUUUGCCUGCUCCAGCGGCAUGAUGUGGUCCACCAACAAGGAGGGACACCAAUAAAGCGUCCGAUAAGAUAAGCCUUAUAAAAUAUAUAGAUGUAUGAUAAUUGAGACUGAGCUAACAGAUGAGAAUCCUAGUCAUUGGCCAAGCAGUAUUAAACCUAAUACAAGUUUCUGUGUAUUCAUUUGAGCCUAACUCGGUCAGGCGGCUGGCGUAAAGCACACACAUGGCGGUGGGGCUCAGGCAACUUUAGGCAGAAAUAUUUAUCGUAACAGGGAGUUGUGAGCCAUCUGACAUGGAUCCUCUGCACGGGCAGGAUGUGUUCUUAAUCAUCUCUUCAGCCCCCAUUAACAACAUGGUUUUAAAUCAUCUUUUGUUCAGGGUGUUGGUGGCACACACCUUUAAUCCCAGCACUCAGGUGGCAGAGGCAGGCUGAUCUCUGUGAGUCUGAGGCCAGCCUGAUCUACAGAGUGAGUUUCAGGGCAGCCAUCCAGGGCUACAAAGAGAAACCGUGUCUCCAAAACCAAAAACCAACCAAACAAAAUCACCUUUUGCUCUGAUUUAGAUGUGGUUCAUUCCUUGAAGUCCAGUGUCCAAAGCUAUAUUUUAGAGACCCAGUUUCAAGAAUUCCCAUCCCCCCGACAAUUUCCUCUGAACCCUAUCUCACCAACAUUAAUGAAGAACAGCCACUACCACAGUGUUGCUAGAACCUGUUUCUUUCCAUUCCUGGAUUGUGCCUGAGUCAAGCGGUGGUAACUGUGGACCGCAAGAAUGCUGAGCGCGUGAAUAAUCGAGCACCUGAAUAAUCGAGCACCUGUCGUAUUGGGUCUCCUUCUGAAGUCCUUGUACCAAGUAAAUGGAAGCUGGUAGGUUAGCCCCGAUGGAGUGACAGCUCAAGAGUAAAGCAACUCAAAUCAGAAUAAGGGAUGGAUUUGGUCUUCACAACCUCCGUGGAUAUUUUUCACACGUUCUCCCAUCCCCGUUCUCCUGUUGGCGGCCACAUCACCUAUAUGACUCUUCACAUCUAAGAGAGAGCCAUAAAACAGGAAGAAACCCAGGGAGCCAGCUUCCUGUGUCCUCUGGUCCUGAGCUGUAUGACUCCGCUUCUACUGAGGUCCUCUGACCUCAUAAGCCUAAUAAUAGCAAAACAGCCGGAUGGUGCAGGAUGCUGAGGAGAGGGCUUUUGUUUCUUAUGUGGUAGCACAAAUAGAUGGGUGGCUGGGCCACAAGUGAGGACUUUGCUACCAAACAAGUGCCGCUGUCAGGGGGUUCCUGAACAGAUGGCUGGAAUACAGGACUCCUUCUGUCAACUGCAAAUUCCAUUCCUAUGGUGUAGCACUGACUAAUAAGACAUAGGUCACACUCCGGCUGAGCCAUGCCACGCUCACAAUUCCUGCUGGAAUUAGCGGGAGCUGUGUGCUCACAAACCGAGGGCAGUCUGGUUUCCUUGGAUGAGGAGGAGAGAGGGGAAGGGAGAAGGAGGGAGGAGACUGCGAAAUAAUGAACAUUAGUUUUUCCCAGGAGAAAAGACUAAGGAUGUCCCAGUGUGCACUGGGAUGGCCUUUUCUUUGCUGUUAUGAAUCGCUCCCCUAAUAGAAAGAAUGAACAAGCACUCUAUCUGUCUUAAAUCCCAUUUAACAUCCAUGACCAAAAUAAACUGAGGUUUUGCCCUAAUCUGGCUUGCUGAGUGCUAUUUUGCAGCCCCAGGGAGAGGAUCAUUCCAGUGGAAUUUCUCCCGGGUGUUUAGAGAGACGGGAGUGGCGGUGGAGAAAACGAAAAGGCUGCUUCCAUUCCAAGAGAAUAAUGAAUACAGCUGCCCUCUAGGCCUGAUUCCCUUUGCCGCAAAUGGCUCAUCCUGGUUUUCUGAAGUGUGUACCUCCCAGGAGUCAUUCAAGGUCACCACGACUGGCCUCCUCUGAAGUGUCUCCCUGCUCUCCGAGGAUAAAUUGCAAUUUCUAUUUUUUUUCCUUCAAAGCUGCAGUGUUGAAGUGAACCUAACACAAUGGUUAAGAAUGAAGACUCUGGAUG